UACGUAGGAGGCAAGCGUUGUCCGGAAUCACUGGGCGUAAAGCGUGCGUAGGCGGCGUGUUAAGUGAGAUGUUAAAUCGUGUGGCUCAACCAUAUCGAUGCAUCUCAUACUGGCAUGCUAGAGAGAGGCAGAAGCAAGUGGAACUAGUAGUGUAGCAGUGAAAUGCGUAGAGAUUACUAAGAACACCAAUGGCGAAGGCAGCUUGCUGGGCCUUUUCUGACGCUGAGGUACGAAAGCGUGGGGAGCGAACAGG
rnacentral:rRNA from 1 species